CACACAUCCAAACUACAUCACAGCCAAAUUCAUGCUUGGAGUGACAAAAGCCAUAGAAAGCUCCCUACUUACUACUUGCCUUUUAUCAAAUGCUUUUUUUGGGACUUGCAGGUUUGGAGAGAAGAUGGCUUUUAUCCCUCAGAACCUGUUUUUGUUCCAGCACCAGGAACCAAUGAAGAAGAUGGUGGGGUUAUUCUUUCUGUGGUGAUCACUCCCAACCAGAAUGAAAGCAAUUUUAUCCUAGUUUUGGAUGCCAAGAACUUUGAAGAGCUGGGCCGAGCAGAGGUACCUGUGCAGAUGCCUUAUGGGUUCCAUGGUACCUUCAUACCCAUCUGAUGGGACAACCACAAGGUCUGGAAACUAGGUUUAAAAUAAGUGUGCACUUGGACAUAAAGACUGGAGAAAUAAACACUGAGGACUCCAAAAGGGGGGCAAGGAGGAAGAGGGGCAGGGGUUAAAAAGCUACCUAUUGAAUACUAUGUUCCCUAUUUGGGUGAUGGGUUCGUUAGAAGUCCAAACCUCAGCAGCACACAAUAUACUCAUGUAACAAGCCUGCACAUGUACCCCAGAAUCUAAAAUAAAAAUAAAAAGAAAAACAAAGAAUGUACUCUAUACAAAA
rnacentral:lncRNA from 1 species